rnacentral:lncRNA from 1 species
GUAUGCAGCCUCUUCUUCAGGUUAGUUCCACCAUUUUUUUUUUUUUUUUUUUUUUUUUUUUUUUAGGGCUGAACCCUGGGAACCUCCAGAUGCUGCAGAUGUGGCCCUAAAAAGAAAAAAAAAAAAAAAAAAAAACCUAAGAGAAUGAAGCUUCCCAAUAUAGGGAAUAAAUGCAGAAUUGUCCUUAAGAAGCAGAGUCUCAUAAAAAUCCACUAUCCACAAAGCAGAAAAUAGAUUUUCUUUUAGGAUAGUGUCCUCGUUUUCUUUGCCACUUUAGUUUAAUUUGGGUUUUGAGCACGAGUUUAUUUUCACAGAGGUAUUUAUAGAGAGAGGAAGAAAAGAGAGAGACCUUUAAAUCUGAAUUUUUCCAAUGCCUCCAAGAUCAAGGGGCUUUUCUAAGGGAUGUAAAUGUAUUUCUUUCAUUGAGACCGCUUCUUGAACAUGAUAGCCUGGUUAAGUGCCAGCCUCUGGAAAGAGUAGACUAGGAUAUUACUGAUACUGUCAUCAACAUUCAAAAAAUCACUCCAUCACUUAGGGCUCAACUUUCCAGUCUGUGAAAUGUGAGCCAUAAUAAGACUGGAUAAAACAUACUUCUGAAGUGUUUGACAUGGUGCCUGGCCAACAUCUGCUCUAUAAACUUUAGCUAUUAACACAGCUAUCAUCAUUGUUUUCAACAACAAAUAGCCAACACCAGAAUAGUGGUGGAAGUAGGGGAAGGAGGCACAGAAAGACAGAGAAGGAGCAGAGUCCUGUUGCAUAAGUAGUCUCUGAAAGCAUUUUGAUUUAUAGAAAAUCUAUGCUCAGCUACAGUUUAAAGUUUAACCACUUCUAUUGACUAUGGAUCUUUGGAUUGACCUUUAUUUAUUGCAUUACAAAGCAGCACAUUGCAAUGUUUAGAAGUAAGGUCUCUAGAGUCACAAAACCUGGAUACAAAUGUUGUCUCUACCCUUGCAAACUCUGCAAGCUCAAGCAAAUUACCUCUCUGAGCUUCUGUUACUGUAUCCUUAAAAUAGAGGUAGAAAUAGUGCCUACCUCAUAGGAUAGGUAUGAGGAAUGAACAGACACUAUAUGUAAAGUUCUCAGAACAUAGCCUAAUACAAGGUAAGCAUUCAAGAAAUGUUAACUCAAUAUAAUUAUGUUAUAGAAUAUCAUAGAUUUUGAUGUUCUUCCCCAAGAAUCAGUAUUCUCUUAUUUCUUAUCCUGUAAAGACUGUUUAAGAUUUUGCGGGAGUUCCCAUUGUGGCUCAGCGGAAAUGAAUCUGACGAGUAUCCAUGAGAAUGAGGGUUCAAUCCCUGGCCUUGCUCAGUGGGUUGGGGAUCCGGUGUUGCCAUGAGCUGUGGUGUAGGUCACAGACAGGGUUCGGAACCCGUGUUGCUGUGGCUGUGGCGUAGGCUGGCAGCUGUGGCUGCAGUUCGACCCCUAGCCUGGGAACUCCCAUAUGCCCUGGGUGCGGCCCUAAAAAGCAAAUAAAUAAAUUUAAAAAGAUUUUGCUCAAUAGCUGAUCUAUUGAAUUUCCAUUGAAAAGUUUAGGUUAAAACAAGCAGGGUUGCCAAAUCUCAAAAUUUUAGGAUUGAUUUAAGCCAUGUCAUGUUUGUUCAAGAUUCAAUCAUAAAAAUAAAGAAACCACUCUGGCAUUUCAAGCAGGAAGAAAUUUAAUACCGUGAACUAGUGAUUUGAAAAUACACAGGGAUGGGUGAAGAGGCAAUGACUCUGGAAAGCAUUCAUUAUUACUCACUAUCACCCAGUUUUUUCACCAGCCAUGAGAGAAGUAGGGAGCUCCAGGAAUCGCAUGAAACAUCCACCAGUUAUCUCAGGUCACCACUACACCAGAUGAGCAGCUACUGGGGAAACCAAAGGAGCUGCAGAGCAUCUUAACUGUGGAAGCCCAUGAGGUCUCCUUACUGAACAAUGGUUCUGCUUCUCUGGACAUUUCUAACUUUGUGGCUUCUGUUUGGUUGACUCUAAACCAGAAGCUUGGUGGUGAGAGAUUGUGGGAAAUGUAUUCCCUAGAUUUCCAAUCACUGUGUUAAGCAGUCAGCAAGGAAAAGAAAUGAGGGUGCAGGCUCGUUGGUUUAAAAAAAAAAAAA